rnacentral:tRNA from 1 species
GUUAUGUUAGUACUCAAGGUACUCUCUUCUUCGAGAUGAGAAUAGGCUUUAACCAACUCGCCUGCAUCGAC